UGAACGGAGUGACGUCACCGUGAGUGACAGGGGAGGCGGAAGCUAGUGGAGUAAUGACAGAGUGGUGACUGGAAGUAGGGGAAGUAAACAAACUACCAACCCAAAUUGAGGAGUCCUGGGCUGUAGCGGUGGAGUACUUGGUUGGGUAUGCUGCUUGUUGGGAACGGAGUCCUGGAGGAUCCAGCGCGAGGUGACGCGUUUCUGCUCGCCAGUUUCUGUUACGUUUGCGCGGCAUCGUGGAUGCGCGGGGAGUGUCGCCUCUCGAUGCGCAGGAUCACAGCAGGCAGGAAUGAAGGUUAUCAGUUUCCACCUAGGACGCGCUAGCCGUUCCAAAUUGGGACCCGGGAUGGACCACUGCUCUAUGCAUCAAUUGGUGACGUCUCUGCGCUGCUGACUUGUCUACAUACAGGAGGAUCCACUGCUGGCCUCACUAUGAACUGGACUCUCACGUUAUUAACUGUAUCCACUCAACAUCCCUUGCACUGGUCACCAAAGGGGGGGUUCCCCACAUCUACGGUCCCUUCCAAGGUUUCUGGUUGUUCCCAUUAGGUUGAGGUUUUUCUUGCCCUGAUGUGGAAUCUGAGCUGAGGAUGUCGUCGUGGUUUGUGCAGCCCUUUGAGAAAUGUGUGAUUAUGGGCAUAUAAGUAAACUUUGAUUGACUGAUUGAUUGAUUUAUUGUUCAUAUUUCAAAAAAACCCGAAUUGAAGUAUCAAGUGUUUCCAAGCACAUUAUUUUGUGCUGGAUCUACAACUUUUUAGUUACCCUGUUGUUCAGUCAUUGUUGCUGUUGUCGUUAUUUCAAACUGUCUUCCCUAAAGGGGAACAUUAUCACAAUUUCUGAAGGGUUAAAACCAAUAAAAAUCAGUUCCCAGUG